rnacentral:rRNA from 1 species
GUGUCAGCCGCCGCGGUAAUACGUAGGGUGCAAGCGUUAAUCGGAAUUACUGGGCGUAAAGCGUGCGCAGGCGGUUUUGUAAGACAGAGGUGAAAUCCCCGGGCUCAACCUGGGAACCGCCUUUGUGACUGCAAAGCUGGAGUACGGCAGAGGGAGGUGGAAUUCCACGUGUAGCAGUGAAAUGCGUAGAGAUGUGGAGGAACACCAAUGGCGAAGGCAGCCCCCUGGGUCGAUACUGACGCUCAUGCACGAAAGCGUGGGUAGCAAACAGGAUUAGAUACCCUGGUAGUCCACGCCCUAAACGAUGUCAACUGGUUGUUGGGUCUUCACUGACUCAGUAACGAAGCUAACGCGUGAAGUUGACCGCCUGGGGAGUACGGCCGCAAGGUUGAAACUUAAAGAAAUUGACGG